rnacentral:rRNA from 1 species
UUAAAUUGAAGAGUUUGAUCAUGGCUCAGAUUGAACGCUGGCGGCAGGCCUAACACAUGCAAGUCGAACGGUAACAGGAAUCAGCUUGCUGAUUCGCUGACGAGUGGCGGACGGGUGAGUAAUGUCUGGGAAACUGCCUGAUGGAGGGGGAUAACUACUGGAAACGGUAGCUAAUACCGCAUAACGUCGCAAGACCAAAGAGGGGGACCUUCGGGCCUCUUGCCAUCGGAUGUGCCCAGAUGGGAUUAGCUAGUAGG